rnacentral:rRNA from 1 species
CAACCCCUGUUGCUAGUUAGAAUCUAGCGAGACUGCCGAGCAAACUCGAGGAAGCGGGGAUGACGUCAAGUCAGCACGGCCCUUACGUCCUGGGCUACACACACGCUACAAUGGGUGGUACAAAGGGUAGCGAAGGGGUGACCUGGAGCCAAUCCCAACAAAGCCAUCCCCAGUUCAGAUUGCAGGCUGCAACUCGCCUGCAUGAAGUCGGAGUUGCUAGUAACCGUGGGUCAGCACACCGCGGUGAAUAUGUUCCCGGGCCUU